rnacentral:rRNA from 1 species
GGAGGAAAGUAGGGGAUCGUAAGACCUUGCGCUUUUGGAGCGGCCGAUGUCUGAUUAGCUAGUUGGUGAGGUAAAGGCUUACCAAGGCGUCGAUCAGUAGCUGGUCUGAGAGGACGACCAGCCACACUGGGACUGAGACACGGCCCAGACUCCUACGGGAGGCAGCAGUGGGGAAUUUUGGACAAUGGGGGAAACCCUGAUCCAGCCAUGCCGCGUGAGUGAAGAAGGCCUUCGGGUUGUAAAGCUCUUUCAGCCGGAACGAAACGGUCACGGCUAAUACCUGUGACUACUGACGGUACCGGAAGAAGAAGCACCGGCUAACUACGUGCCAGCAGCCGCGGUAAUACGUAGGGUGCGAGCGUUAAUCGGAAUUACUGGGCGUAAAGCGUGCGCAGGCGGUUUUGUAAGUCAGAUGUGAAAUCCCCGGGCUUAACCUGGGAACUGCGUUUGAAACUACAAAGCUAG